UACGUAGGGGGCUAGCGUUGUCCGGAAUCAUUGGGCGUAAAGGGCGCGUAGGCGCCAGGCAAGUGGAAGGUGAAAUCCCUCGGCUUAACCGAGGAACUGCCCUCCAAACUGCUUGGCUUGAGACCGGGAGAGGUGAGUGGAAUUCCCAGUGUAGCGGUGAAAUGCGUAGAUAUUGGGAGGAACACCAGUGGCGAAGGCGGCUCACUGGACCGGUACUGACGCUGAGGCGCGAAAGCGUGGGGAGCAAACAGG
rnacentral:rRNA from 1 species